rnacentral:rRNA from 1 species
AUUGAACGCUGGCGGCAGGCCUAACACAUGCAAGUCGAGCGGAUGAAGGGAGCUUGCUCCUGGAUUCAGCGGCGGACGGGUGAGUAAUGCCUAGGAAUCUGCCUGGUAGCGGGGGAUAACGUCCGGAAACGGGCGCUAAUACCGCAUACGUCCUGAGGGAGAAAGUGGGGGAUCUUCGGACCUCACGCUAUCAGAUGAGCCUAGGUCGGAUUAGCUAGUUGGUGGGGUAAAGGCCUACCAAGGCGACGAUCCGUAACUGGUCUGAGAGGAUGAUCAGUCACACUGAAACUGGGAAACGGUCCAGACUCCAACGGGAGGCAGCAGGGGGAAAUAUUGAAAAAUGGGCGAAAGCCUGAUCCAGCCAUGCGGCGUGGGUGAAGAAGGUCUUCGGAUUGUAAAGCACUUUAAGGUGGGAGAAAGGGCAGUAAGUUAAGACCUGGCUGUUUUGAGGUUACCAACAGAAUAAGCACCGGCUAACUUCGG